AGUGCGGAACAAGGUACUCCGUAGGUGAACCUGCGGAGGGAUCAUUA
rnacentral:rRNA from 1 species